AACCUCCAUAUGCCACGGGCGCGGCCCUAAAAAGACAAAAGACAAUAGUAAUAAUAAUAAUAAUAAGAGUUGUGUACAACAGAAUUAAUCUAACACUAUUACUAAGUGACCGUUUGCUCUUUUUCCCUCUCUUAGAAGUUUGAAACUGAUUUUUUUUUUUCAAUUUAUAUACAGUUUUCAGAAACUUGGAAAAAUAUUGGCAUAGGCUGAUUUCUCUAAACAUGCUAUAGAAUUAACCUGCUGGCCUCACAGUGCAUAUACCACAUAGAAAACAAAGAAAAAAUGGAAUGUGAAAGGCGGAUGUGGUCGUCUGUAUGCUGAAUAUUAGUUAAUUGAUGGAUUUGGCUUGUAUUAUGGAGUAGCAAUUACAAACCAGGCCUUCUGCUGAGCACCACAAAUAUGUCUUAGUCGAUGAGAAAGGUGUACCCCUUCCCUUAGAGCCGGUCUCCUAAACCCAACCCUCUUUACCCUGAUUACAGGGACUCUCAUCUGGAACACGUUUACAAAAAUACCAAUGCCUGGGCCGCCCGAGGCGAGAAAUUCUAGGGGUGCAACUCAGGAACAAGUAUUUCUUAAAACUCCCCAGAUGAUUCUGAGUGAAGCCAGAGUUGGAAACCACUGAUCUAACCAUACCCCAGAGGUAGCUACGAAACCACAAAAUAUUUUGAAGAGGAAGUGGUCAUGGAAAUUUUCAUGUGAUGUAACAUGAACUGCAUAGCAUCGGCUUUGAAGCAUUCUUACCAUGUUCAGCUUAAGAGCAACAAAGCUCUAAGACCAAUGUACGGACAACUCCGAGGCUCCAAGGAUAAGUUAAAUGGCACCUCGAGGAAAACUGUCAGGCAGUUCUACAAAGCGAUGAGAAAACGGCAGCUUGUAAUGAAUCAACACUUGUUCAAGUUCACGCUGAGCCAGAACUUGCACCAAGUUCUUCCUGUUUCCGUUGUGGGUGAUCUUGAUCAUAACGCAGCGUCGCCCUGCCCCCAGACUGGAGGCACCUCUCACGUGGUAAAGGAAAGUCCACUCGCUGUGUAUUUACUCCCAUUACAGCGCUUAUUACGCCGCCAGCCCACCUAGUGUCCGUGUGCCUGCCCUGUGCACCGCGUCCGCCUUGGUAUCCGAAGACCGUGGUGGAGUCAGGCCACCGGGCCCAAGUCUUGGCUCUGUCGUUUAUUAGACAUUUGUUCUCAGGCAGUUUGUUAAAACCUCCCUCAGUUUCCGUUUCGUCUUCUCUGAAGAUGGACAUAAGAUUAAGUGCUUUAUAGGACGGCUAUGCUGAUGAAAUUUCUAGAGAAAGCCCUUAGCACAAUCCUGUCACGUAGUAAAAGCUCAGACGUGCUGUCUGUCCCCCCGCUCCCCGCCUUCUGAAAAACGAACUGGGUUUGGCCACAAAGGACUUCUGCUUAUAUAGAGGAGCCCCUGGUGCUCCCAGUGACUGCCAGUGCUGGAUCCUGCAAUUGUACCCAUCAGCAAUCAACUUGGCAUCAGGGACCAUGGCUCUGAAUCCAUAAAACCUACAAUAGGAGACCUCAGCGAGUGUUCGUGUGUGUGUGUGUGUGUGUGAACAUUACAUUAUCGGUGAUAGUCAUUGGGACUUCAUUUAUUUCAAUUGUGUCAGGUAUUAAAAUUUCUUC